GUGCAAGCGUUAUCCGGAUUUACUGGGUGUAAAGGGAGCGUAGACGGUUGUGUAAGUCUGAUGUGAAAGCUCGGGGCUCAACCCCGGGACUGCAUUGGAAACUGUUUUUCUAGAGUGCCGGAGAGGUAAGCGGAAUUCCUAGUGUAGCGGUGAAAUGCGUAGAUAUUAGGAGGAACACCAGUGGCGAAGGCGGCUUACUGGACGGUAACUGACGUUGAGGCUCGAAAGCGUGGGGAGCA
rnacentral:rRNA from 1 species